rnacentral:rRNA from 1 species
UACGAAGGGUGCAAACGUUGCUCGGAAUCAUUGGGCGUAAAGCGCACGUAGGCGGCCUUGCAAGUCGGAUGUGAAAUCCCUCGGCUCAACCGAGGACGUGCAUUCGAAACUGCUUGGCUCGAGUAUGGAAGAGGGUCGCGGAAUUCCCGGUGUAGAGGUGAAAUUUCGUAGAUAUCGGGGAGGAACACCAGUGGCGAAGGCGGCGACCCUGGGGCCCCAUACUGACGCUGAGGUGCGGAAAAGCGUGGGGAGCAAACAGG